AUUGAACGCUGGCGGCAUGCUUUACUCAUGCAAGUCGAACGGUAACAGGCCGCAAGGUGCUGACGAGUGGCGAACGGGUGAGUAAUGCAUCGGAACGUGCCCAGUCGUGGGGGAUAACGCAGCGAAAGCUGCGCUAAUACCGCAUACGAUCUAUGGAUGAAAGCGGGGGGACCGUAAGGCCUCGCGCGAUUGGAGCGGCCGAUGUCAGAUUAGGUAGUUGGUGGGGUAAAGGCUCACCAAGCCAACGAUCUGUAGCUGGUCUGAGAGGACGACCAGCCACACUGGGACUGAGACACGGCCCAGACUCCUACGGGAGGCAGCAGUGGGGAAUUUUGGACAAUGGGCGCAAGCCUGAUCCAGCAAUGCCGCGUGCAGGAAGAAGGCCUUCGGUUGUACUGCUUUGUAC
rnacentral:rRNA from 1 species